UACGGGGGGGGCAAGCGUUGUUCGGAAUUACUGGGCGUAAAGGGCUCGUAGGCGGCCAACUAAGUCAGACGUGAAAUCCCUCGGCUUAACCGGGGAACUGCGUCUGAUACUGGAUGGCUUGAGUUCGGGAGAGGGAUGCGGAAUUCCAGGUGUAGCGGUGAAAUGCGUAGAUAUCUGGAGGAACACCGGUGGCGAAGGCGGCAUCCUGGACCGAUACUGACGCUGAGGAGCGAAAGCCAGGGAGCAAAGCGGG
rnacentral:rRNA from 1 species